UACGUAGGGUGCAAGCGUUGUCCGGAAUUAUUGGGCGUAAAGAGCUCGUAGGCGGUUUGUCGCGUCUGCUGUGAAAACCGGAGGCUCAACCUCCGGCCUGCAGUGGAUACGGGCAGACUAGAGGUAUGCAGGGGAGAACGGAAUUCCUGGUGUAGCGGUGAAAUGCGCAGAUAUCAGGAGGAACACCGGUGGCGAAGGCGGUUCUCUGGGCAUUACCUGACGCUGAGGAGCGAAAGUGUGGGGAGCGAACAGG
rnacentral:rRNA from 1 species